rnacentral:rRNA from 1 species
AUUGAACGCUGGCGGCAGGCCUAACACAUGCAAGUCGGGCGGUAACACGGGGAGCUUGCUCCUGGGUGACGAGCGGCGGACGGGUGAGUAAUGUCUGGGAAACUGCCUGAUGGAGGGGGAUAACUACUGGAAACGGUAGCUAAUACCGCAUAAUGUCGCAAGACCAAAGAGGGGGACCUUCGGGCCUCUUGCCAUCAGAUGUGCCCAGAUGGGAUUAGCUAGUAGGUGGGGUAACGGCUCACCUAGGCGACGAUCCCUAGCUGGUCUGAGAGGACGACCAGCCACACUGGGACUGAGACACGGCCCAGACUCCUACGGGAGGCAGCAGUGGGGAAUUUUGGACAAUGGGGGCAACCCUGAUCCAGCCAUGCCGCGUGUGUGAAGAAGGCCUUCGGGUUGUAAAGCACUUUCCGGCCGGAACGAAAUCGCGCGGGUGAAUAUCCCGCGUGGAUGACGGUACCGGAA